rnacentral:lncRNA from 1 species
ACACAAUUGAAAAGAACAGAUGUUUUAUCUUAGUUUUAUUUUCAAAGUAAGAACAAUUAGUUUCCUGAUUUCACUUUUAUAAUGCUCGCCUAAUUUCAAUAAAUCUGUUUUUAUUGCUUGAAAUAUUAAUUAUUUCAAUAAACAAAGAAUGCUGGAGUAAACUGUAGGAAACAUUAUUGCGCAGUUAGAACAAAAAUAUUAUUUUCGAGAAUCAAUUAUGUUAAUGUUUCCAACACAAAUUGUUGGGUUAUAUGAGAAAAUUGUUGUGAUCCACACAUAAGGUCCAUCCAAACAGCAUGAAUGAUGUUAUGUUCCAACACCAAUUGUUGGGUUAUAUGAGAAAAUUGUUGUGAUCCACAAAUGAGGUCUGUCCAAACAGCAUGAAUGAUGCUAUGUUCCAACACCAAUUGUUGGGUUAUAUGAGAAAAUUGUUGUGAUCCACACAUGAGGUCCGUCCAAACAGCAUGAAUGAUGCUAUGUUCCAACACCAAUUGUUGGGUUAUAUGAGAAAAUUGUUGUGAUCCACACAUGAGGUCCGUCCAAACAGCAUGAAUGAUGCUAUGUUCCAACACCAAUUGUUGGGUUGUACGAGAAAAUUGAUUCAUGCAAGUGUGGAGUAGUGUAACACCACCUUUUCCGACCUGAACUAUAAAUAUGUGGUAGAAUCCAUUUCUGCAGUAAAUUUGAGGCGUAGCAAUGUUGCUGAUACCAGAUUUUCCCUCUUGGAUUAAAUUUAUGUAUUCCUCUAAUAUGGUUCAUUCGAACUGUGAGGAUAGGACAGUUGUGAAAAUGCAACUGUAAAGGAUUACAUUUUGCAAGUGAGUAAUGAUUCUUGUUCUGGUUUAAUUUAAAAUGUACAUUUUAAAAUGAUUUGUGUACACUAUAAUCAACAUUUUCUCUCUGAUUAGGACUGACCGGUGUAGCCAAAGCCUGAAACAGUAAUGCAGCUAUAUUGGAAACAGUUAUAGGUUAGUAACUGUUUAAUUCUAAUGAUAUUCAUCCAGCAAGGUGUAAUAACAAGAAAGGUUAACAUAAUUGAUAUAAAUAAAUCAAUAUGUCUACAUUUUUAAAAUAAUUAUAAAAAUAUGCAGUAGAAUUUAAGAUGAGAUUUAUGCAGGUAGUGAGUUUAUAAUAACACUAAAUUUGAAAUUAUUGUGUAUUAUGUACUAUUGUGGCAAUGUGUCACAGAAUGAAUGUAGCUGAUCAUAGCUGCAAGUAUUGUGAAAGUGUCCUCAUUAUAAGGUGUCAUUACUAAACCUAUAGCUGUAUUGCGUCAUUCAGUGAAGUGAAUAAAAACAAAUAUAAGCUUUUAGCUACGAUAUAAAGAGUAAUUGCUUGUUAAUAAUAGAAUACUCACUAGUUAAUAAAGUAUUCAUUCAAAAUACCGCAAAAAUAAGGCGAUUGAAAAAAGUAUAUAUUGUGGAUUUACAAGUCAACUCUAUGCCAUGCUUGAGCAUUUUACUUCACCUACGUAGCAGGGCAGCAACUACAAAUUCAGCUUCAAUCUUACUAGAGGUGGCAGGCUAUAUGUAUCUUAAUGCUCCUGAACACCAUGACUGUGUUG